rnacentral:rRNA from 1 species
UACAGAGGUCUCAAGCGUUGUUCGGAUUCAUUGGGCGUAAAGCGCACGCAGGCGGCUUGGCGCGUGGGGUGUGAAAGGUAGCGGCUUAACUGCUACACGCCAUCCCAUACGGCCGAGCUCGAGCCAUGCAGAGGUCCACGGAAUUGCCGGUGUAGUGGUGAAAUGCGUAGAGAGUCGGCAGGAACACCCAGGGGGAACCAGUGGACUGGGCAUUGGC